rnacentral:rRNA from 1 species
GACGAACGCUGGCGGCGUGCUUAACACAUGCAAGUCGAACGGAAAGGCCCUGCUUGCAGGGUACUCGAGUGGCGAACGGGUGAGUAACACGUGGGUGAUCUGCCCUGCACUUCGGGAUAAGCUUGGGAAACUGGGUCUAAUACCGGAUAGGAACCAUCUUUAGUGUGGUGGUUGGAAAGUUUUUUCGGUGUGGGAUGAGCUCGCGGCCUAUCAGCUUGUUGGUGGGGUAAUGGCCUACCAAGGCGGCGACGGGUAGCCGGCCUGAGAGGGUGUACGGCCACAUUGGGACUGAGAUACGGCCCAGACUCCUACGGGAGGCAGCAGUGGGGAAUAUUGCACAAUGGGCGCAAGCCUGAUGCAGCGACGCCGCGUGGGGGAUGAAGGCCUUCGGGUUGUAAACUCCUUUCGCUAGGGACGAAGCUUUGUUGUGACGGUACCUAGAUAAGAAGCACCGGCUAACUACGUG